AUCAUGAACAGAAAAGCCAGCACGUAAAUGUAGUGGAUUGAACAUAAGGAACAUAAGUGUUAAUGUAAGUAAAGUAUUUGGGCACGUGUAGCUGGAGUUUUGGACGUGCACUGAAUGAGGUCCCGACAUUUUCCGGAACUUUUCCAGAGGGGCUGUAUACAGGAUGCGACAACGGAAAUGUCACAGGGAAGGUACAUUUUCCUGAACCUUCCCUGCCAGACCCCUCAUAAAAAAACCCUCAGAAAAUGUCCGUGUGAGAAUACAGCAGGAAGAUCUCCAUCCAGGAGGAUCCGCGGCGAGCUAUUCGGCGCCCCGAGAGAUCCAGAGAAUCGUAGCUCAUCGUUACGACUGGAAACAGCCCGGCUCUGUCCAAAGGUUUGAUCAUCAAAUCUGCUACCAUCUGGUCAGUUGGACCAUACUCCAAUAAUACCUUCCCAUCAUUCACAGUGGACCGUAUGAAGUGGUAUUUUAUGUCCAUAUGUUUACACCUCUGUCUACUUCCCCAUCUGCUUCACUUUCCACACACGGUGACUACAUCUAUUUUUAUAAACAGUCUAUUGGUUAAACUCUAAUUUGAUAAUGUCUAUUUUCAGUCAAAAUAUGUUUGUACUGUAGACGAUAUAAAUUAAGAUCUUUUUUUAUGUUUUAUUUUUAUUUUUUGGUUGGGGGUAGCCACUUGCAGAUAUCUUUUAACAUUUUAGUGCUUUUGUUGUUCAACAUGUCCUCAACUAUAGUUAAAAAAAGGACACAUUUUGUGCAGCAAAGUUCUGCUACAACCUCCAGGAUCUUCUGGAGAUAAGCUGAGGGAGUACGACGGACUAUCCAGAGGGAAAUGAAGAAUUGCAACAUCUUUGCAUCAGGACAUGGCCAUCGAUGAAUGGGAUGACUCGCUACUGGGACGACAGCAACCAUCGCUGCCUGGUUCAACUCAUGCCAGUGGUAAAAAGCCCACUGGGACGUUUGCUGAUGGCCUGAGGGUCGUUUUCUGAUCUGCUGCUAACACCCAUCUUGACCAGAAAUAAUAUAGCAGGCCUCCACAGACCAGCCUUUUAUGUCGCCAGUAUAGGAAUGGGAGUGAGAGCGGGGCAGAGCCCCGGCCUGGGUCUCUGCGCAUCAUUAUCAUCAGCAGCGGGCCCUCUCAGAUGUGCCAGCACAAGAUCAAAGGAAAGCCUCUCAAUCUUCUCCCCUCACUGAGGCAGCACAGAGCCGCUCUAUAACUGGCAUCUUGGUCCUGCGAUAAUCCUCCCAUUGAUCUACUUCACAGAGUUCAGUCAGCGCCGAGGCUCCUGGGUUGAGGGUUAAAGAUGCUGAGGAAUGUCUGUCAGAGUUUGCGGCACCGGGUGCCAGAUUUUAUUAAGCCGUGAGCUGGACGCGCUUGUACUUUGCAGUGUCCUCUUUUAUUGCAGCAACUUGUUUUCAAGGUGCUUUGCUCAUGAGGUAAUGUAAAUGUUUUAUGAGGGGCUUCCAGCAUUUGCAUAGAUUCUAACCAGAUCAUCAUUUAGGCUUGUAUUAUGAAUACAAAAAUAGGUUAUGUAUUUAGCACAAGCAAUUAAAAAGCAUAUCCGCAGCAACAUGUAGGCAUGGAGUAGAGGGGCAAAUUAAUUCACCUUAUUUUCUAGUUCCUUCCCUUCCUUUGAAGUCCAUGGUGGUGGGGGGGGGGGGUUAGACUGGAAGGCAAAACGCAGAGGUAGGAGGAGGGUGAGGAAGAAUACAGGGAACAAUAGACCAGAGAGCCAUUACCUCAGCUCUGCCACUGCGCCUCCCUCCACUCAACGUCUCCAUCUGCUGGACGCCUUGGGGAAUGGCCAGCUCGUCCUGCCCCGUUCUGCUGACUGGCACUGCUGAGUUGACGACAUGGAAGUUCGUUGAUGUAAUGUUCACACCAUAUUGUUUCAAAAGCCGCCAAAAGCAGCGGCCAGCUUUCAGAGCAAAGUGAAGUCCGCCUGACGCAGAACAGCCCCCGUUACUUUCUGAACAUCACGGAGGGAGGAGACGGGGCUGAAGUUGGAACGUGAGAAACUGAAAGGAUGUAACAAAGGAUUCGGAGCUGCUACAGUUCGAGGCCUGUAUGCAGUUAAAACAACAACAACAACACAGUACUCUACUCACCUUUCUCUCCUGAGUCCUUCUAUCAUUAUUUCCAGGUUAGGGCCAUGGGAGCUAUAGAGCAUGUCCCAGCAUGCACUGGGCAGACGGUAACCAAUCAAAGAGCUAAUAAAUAAAAAAGACAGACAAACAAUUACAGUGACUCAAAGAGUUGUUUGUCCUUGCACAUCUGGCCUUAGUCCUGAAAAAAAGACAUAAAUAUCAUAUAUACUUACUAAUGAAAAUGACUUAAUCACAAUCACAGUUAAUGCAGUCGCUACCGAUACAUAAAUAAAAUAUAUGUUGUAGACAGGGCUUACUAUAUUUUGUAACCAAUACGGCUUAUGGGAAUGUCGUUACCUUUGCAGAUAUUGUUGGAUAACAACAUAUUUAGAUAAAGAUGGCGCUUAUCCUUGUUUUUACAUUGUCGGAGCGUUCUGAAUGUCUACCCAUUUCUAGAGGAACAGUGUUUCAGUUUGAAUCAGAGCGGUGGACAUAUGGACAUGGCCUAUCCCAUCUCAAGGGCAUGCUGCUAGCAUUUGCUAAAAAACUUUAACUUUUCCCUUCUUGCUGUCUCCAAGGCUUUUUGUUACUUGUCUCGGGUUUGAUGUCCCAUCACCAGGAGUGCAGUGUUUUUUUGUUAGCGGUGCAGCUUUUUAAAAAAUAUAUGAAAAAUAGGGGUGACAUUCAAAAAUAAGCAAUUGCCAUGGCAAUAGUGGUUGAGAUGUUUUCUUUUUCGUCGCCUUUGCCCAAUUGGUAGACUGACGGACAGUCGCGCGAGAACAGGAACCUGCCCUUCUCCCCCCGAGUCAGCCUACUCGCUGGCCUCCCCAUUUCUGUAUCAUAUCUUCACUCCAUGAUGUUUGGCACAUCCCGUAUAGGCUGUUUCACACAUUUUGACAGUAUAGGUUU